rnacentral:rRNA from 1 species
AACGCGAAGAACCUUACCUGGGCUCGAAGCGCAGUGGACCGGGGUAGAAAUAUCCCUUCCCCUUAAAAGGCUGCUGCGGAGGUGCUGCAUGGCUGUCGUCAGCUCGUGUCGUGAGAUGUUGGGUUAAGUCCCGCAACGAGCGCAACCCUUAUCCCUAGUUGCCAUCGGGUCAAGCCGGGCACUCUAGUGAAACUGCCUCGGAUAACGAGGAGGAAGGUGGGGAUGACGUCAAGUCCUCAUGGCCUUUAUGUCCAGGGCUACACACGUGCUACAAUGGCCGGUACAAACCGUCGCAAACCCGUGAGGGGGAGCUAAUCGGAAAAAGCCGGCCUCAGUUCGGAUUGGAGUCUGCAACUCGACUCCAUGAAGCUGGAAUCGCUAGUAAUCGCGGAUCAGAACGCCGCGGUGAAUACGUUCCCGGGCCUUGUA